rnacentral:rRNA from 1 species
ACGGGGUGCAGCAGGCGCGAAAACUUCACACUGCAGGAAACUGUGAUGAGGGAACUCCAAGUGCAUGCACAAUGUGUAUGCUUUUCUUGAAUCUUAAUAGUUCUUGGAAUAAGGGCUGGGAAAGACCGGUGCCAGCCGCCGCGGUAAUACCGGCAGCUCAAGUGGUCGUCGUUCUUAUUGGGCCUAAAACGUCCGUAGCCUGUUUGGUAAAUCUAUGGGUAAAUCAACGAGCUUAACUCGUUGAAUUCUGCAGAGACUGCCAGACUAGGGACCGGGAGAGGUAUGAGGUACUCUGGGGGUAGGGGUAAAAUCCUGUCAUCCUCAGAGGACCACCUGUUGCGAAGGCGUCAUACUGGAACGGAUCCGACGGUCAGGGACGAAGCCUAGGGGCACGAACCGGAUUAGAUACCCGGGUAGUCCUAGGUGUAAACGCUGUGGAUUUGGUGUGUGGGGUCCGUCAAGGGCCCCAUGUGCCGGAGUGAAGAUGUUAAAUCCACUGCCUGGGGAGUACGGUCGCAAGGCUGAAACUUAA